CGAUCUCUUAAAAUAAAGCCUAGCCUGCUUUACAAAAAAAACGGGCGUUUAGAUACUCUUUAAAUUCUUAUGAACCUUAAAGAGUAUCCAUUUAAAAAAGGCUUUAUGAAGAAAGCAUUUUAAGCUUUUCCAGUGAUUUAAGAUGAUACCGGGGAAGGUUUUCCGGUUUAUCCCGGAGGGCUUGUAGCUCAGUUGGUUAGAGCGCGCGCUUGAUAAGCGUGAGGUCGGAGGUUCAAGUCCUCCCAGGCCCACCAGUUUAUGCUCGUUUUUUGCUUAUUCUUGAGCGUUAUGAAGCUUAAGCUUAUCAAAGCCUCUUUUAAUCUUUGUUUAUUUUAAAGAUUUAAUUUUAUCAUUCAAAGAUUGUUUGUUAAAUUUAUUCUAUUAAGUUUGUCAAAGGGGGAGUUUGUCAAAGGAGGUUUUUAAAUCCCUUCAUUUUGAAAUUCCUUCAAGGGGAUAGGAAAAUUUAAAUGUUGCAAAUCAAAAUAGUCAAAGUCAUUCAAGGUGAUGAGUUUUCUUGAGGUUGAUUUGAAAGAGCAUUAUUUAGGGGCCGUAGCUCAGCUGGGAGAGCACCUGCUUUGCAAGCAGGGGGUCGUCGGUUCGAUCCCGUCCGGCUCCACCACUUUAUGGUUCAUCAUCAUGUUGUAAGAAUAUUGUUUUGCGAGAGGUUUUAUGAACUUCUUGCCUGUUCUAUUGAA
rnacentral:tRNA from 1 species